GCACCAGUGGUGGAAUGGUAGACACGCAUGCCUUAGGAGCAUGUGCCGCAAGGCAUGGGGGUUCGAGUCCCUCCUGGUGCA
rnacentral:tRNA from 1 species